CAAAAUACGAAAUCAUCACGGAGAUCGAGUCGUGAAGAAGUCCUCGAAGGUCGUCCCGAGGGACCGUUACAUGCUUUAACAAUUCACCUCCCAAUAUUCAAGCAAUGUCACGGCUCGCGACAUCGGAAAUUCAGACAUUGUACUGAUGAGGAGAAUAGAACCCAGGAAGUCGUCAUAUCGAGCAAACGCUUCAACCACUGGGCUACACCACCCUUCUGGAUUCUGUGACUGUACAUUCAUGGAUUAUAUUAUCUGUGUUU